CUCAAGCAAAUAGGGUUCGUGGAAAUGGCCACAGUCUUCUGCUAUGAACUCAUAAGCAUGAGGAAAGGAUGAAGAGGCUUUUCAUUAAACCAACAACUCUCAGCUGGAUUGGGGAAGGAGCCAGGCCUCAAAUUUGCUCUGAGUAUUUUUUUCCUCUUGAACCAAUGGUCGUAUCUGUUGUAUCUGUGACUUACCAUGGUGGGACAUCAACAGAUGAAAGGAAGGAAAAAGUGCUUGAAAAACUCACAGAAGCAAUGGUGUUCUGCGACAUUUGACCCACUGCAUGCUCCUCCUCAUCAGCCUCACAAAGACUACUGCAGGUACAGGAGGCCAAGAACACAGGACUUUCUCUCCCCACACCCAACUUCCAAUCUAAGCCAGUGUCUCCCCAGUAGGGAAAAUCCACCAGCCUUUUUGUAUCGCCCAUCUCUGUGUCACAAAAAGUCUAUUUCAGGGAAGAGUAGCUGAGACAUUUGGGACUCUCUUCCCCUUCCACCAUCAGACUCCUGUUGAUAAGGCAGAAGCUAUCAAGCAGGCACAUCAAUGAUAAAAAUAGCAAGCUCAUUCAAAGGGGAGAACUUCCACACCAAGAACACGAGAGGCCACCACUCCAGGCCAGUGUUCUUUGUAAAGCAGAGAUACUCUUCCUCAGAGAAAAUUAAAUCACCAUUCCCACCUCCAUUUCUAAAAAAGGUGGUGCAAAUAUUUUUCCCAGGAGGAGAGGAAGGUUUCAAGAAGACAGAAUUCUGUAUAUAUUCCUAAGGUACUGAUUUUGUUUGGAACGGAACAUGAAGAAGUUCAAGACUAAGGGUAAAAUAAAAAACGAUGGACAUUUUGGUUAUAAGCAAUUAAGAGAAGUGUUGAUGCAUAUGUGGAAAAACUGAAAUCUUCACCCAUGGCUAGUGGAAUGUGAAAUAGCUGCUUUUUGAAAAAUAGAUCGGCAGUUCAGCAGAGUGGUAAACACUGAUAUACCUUAUGAUUUACCACUUCUAAUUCUAAAUACUCAAAGGAAAUAAAAGUGCAUACCUCCUC
rnacentral:lncRNA from 1 species